AAAAUAAAAUUUGAUUUUAAAAAAAUUUAAUUUUUAAACUAGGAUUAGAUACCCUAUUAUUUUAAGCUUAAUGUUGGUAGUAAGUAAAAUUUAUAAAAUCAUAAAAUUUUGGCGGUAUUUUAAGCUUGUUAGAGGAAUUUGCUCUAUAAUGGAUACAACGCCUAUAUCUUACUUAAUUUUGUAAUUAAAGUCAGUUUGUAUACCACUAUAUUUAAUUAUAUUGAAUAAUUAUAUUUAAGAUUUUUAUAUAAAUAUAUAUUAAGUCAAGGUGCAACAAAUAAUUA
rnacentral:rRNA from 1 species